AUUGAACGCUGGCGGCAGGCCUAACACAUGCAAGUCGAGCGGAUGAAGGGAGCUUGCUCCUGGAUUCAGCUGCGGACGGGUGAGUAAUUCCUAGGAAUCUGCCUGUUAGUGGGGGAUAACGUCCGGAAACGGGCGCUAAUACCGCAUACGUCCUUAGGGAGAAAGUGGGGGAUCUUCGGACCUCCCGCUAUCAGAUGAGCCUAGGUCGGAUUAGCUAGUUGGUGGGGUAAAGGCCUACCAAGGCGACGAUCCGUAACUGGUCUGAGAGGAUGAUCAGUCACACUGGAACUGAGACACGGUCCAGACUCCUACGGGAGGCAGCAGUGGGGAAUGUUGGACAAUGGGCGAAAGCCUGAUCCAGCCAUGCCGCGUGUGUGAAGAAGGUCUUCGGAUUGUAAAGCACUUUAAGUUGGGAGGAAGGGCAGUAAGUUAAUACCUUGCUGUUUUGACGUUACCAAAAGAAUAAGCACCGGCUAACUUCGUG
rnacentral:rRNA from 1 species